GAGUUUGAUCUUGGCUCAGAUUGAACGCUGGCGGCAGGCCUAACACAUGCAAGUCGAGCGGAUGACGGGAGCUUGCUCCUUGAUUCAGCGGCGGACGGGUGAGUAAUGCCUAGGAAUCUGCCUGGUAGUGGGGGACAACGUUUCGAAAGGAACGCUAAUACCGCAUACGUCCUACGGGAGAAAGCAGGGGACCUUCGGGCCUUGCGCUAUCAGAUGAGCCUAGGUCGGAUUAGCUAGUUGGUGGGGUAAUGGCUCACCAAGGCGACGAUCCGUAACUGGUCUGAGAGGAUGAUCAGUCACACUGGAACUGAGACACGGUCCAGACUCCUACGGGAGGCAGCAGUGGGGAAUAUUGGACAAUGGGCGAAAGCCUGAUCCAGCCAUGCCGCGUGUGUGAAGAAGGUCUUCGGAUUGUAAAGCACUUUAAGUUGGGAGGAAGGGCAGUAAGUUAAUACCUUGCUGUUUUGACGUUACCGACAGAAUAAGCACCGGCUAACUCUGUGCCAGCAG
rnacentral:rRNA from 2 species